AUCGCUUUCUCGGCCUUUUGGCUAAGAUCAAGUGUAGUAUCUGUUCUUAUCAGUUUAAUAUCUGAUACGUCCUCUAUCCGAGGACAAUAUAUUAAAUGGAUUUUUGGAGCAGGGAGAUGGAAUAGGAGCUUGCUCCGUCCACUCCACGCAUCGACCUGGUAUUGCAGUACCUCCAGGAACGGUGCACCCCCU
ensembl:snRNA U2 U2 spliceosomal RNA